GACCGCUCCGGUGGCCUAGUGGCUAGAGCGUCCGCCUCGAAUGCGGGAUGUCGCGAGUUCAAACCUUGGCCGAGUUA